GAAAAAGUGGCGCCUCCUGCACGUCAAAAGUGCCAUGAAUUCACAGGUGGGGAGGAGGAUGUGCCCCUUAAAGCUACACAUGACCAAGACUGCCAAGCACCUGGAGUUCACUUCGUUGCUAGAGGAACCCUCCUGUGAGUUGACCCACAUCUGUUCUGGAGAAACAGUGGACUAGCUCUCCACACACUGGAAGACCGGCAGCAUUCUGGCUUCAAAGUGAAACUGAGCAUGCCCUAGCACAACAGCUAGCAGGAUGGUGUGGGGCAGAAAACCUGGGUAACUUUAAAACUGGUACUUAGAACUUCAUGGAUGAAACCAAUGAAAGGCACAUCUCCUUGACAAUCCUGAAUAAAGCACAUCAGUAAUUUU